AGCUCGGUGGGGUAGCGGUCAAUCCUUUGGGGCUCUGGACCCCAAGACGUGGGUUCGAAUCCCACCCGAGCUA
rnacentral:tRNA from 1 species